CAGUAGCCGCGGGAAAACGGAGGGUGCAAGCGUUAUCCGGAUUUAUUGGGUUUAAAGGGUCCGUAGGCGGAUCUGUAAGUCAGUGGUGAAAUCUCACAGCUUAACUGUGAAACUGCCAUUGAUACUGCAGGUAUUGAGUAAAUUUGAAGUGGCUGGAAUAAGUAGUGUAGCGGUGAAAUGCAUAGAUAUUACUUAGAACACCAAUUGCGAAGGCAGGUCACUAAGAUUUAACUGACGCUGAUGGACGAAAGCGUGGGGAGCGAACAGGAUUAGAUACCCCAGUAGUCCCUGUCUCUUAUAA
rnacentral:rRNA from 1 species